rnacentral:rRNA from 1 species
AGGAGCCUGCCCCAUAAUCGAUUAUACCCGCUAUACCCGACCAUUUYUUGCCAAUCAGCUUGNAUACUUCCGUNGCCAGCUUACCAUGUGAACGAUCAGUGGGCUUAAUGUUCUGCCCUACCAGUACGUCAGGNCAAGGUGCAGCCUAUGAANUGGAUAAGGGUGGGCUACAAUUNCUAAACUAGAACAAACGAAAACCCUGCAUGAAAACCCAGAANUGAAGGUGGAUUUAGUAGUAAAAAGAAAUUAGAGUGUUCUUUUUAAUAGAUAGGCGCUGGGACGCGUAC